rnacentral:lncRNA from 1 species
CACGUUAUCUAUUACGCACUCUUCCUAGCUAAAUCCCUCCCUAUAAAUAUUAUAUAUUAAUCACACCAAAAGUUCCAUAAUUUCAAAAUAAACAUUCCCAAAAAAAAAAAAAAUUUGCAAUAUGGAGAAGCUAAGAGAACUAUUUUCUUCAUAAUUUUCUACUUAUUCAUUUCCACACCAAAUGCAAACGCAAGAAAUCUAGGCGUCGAAAAAGUUGCGAGGCUUCAUGUCUACGUGCACGAUUUCCGCGCCGGCGGCCCCAACGCGACGGUGUUCACCGUCGCGAACGCCUCCAUCACCGCCACCUCCCCCACGGGGUUCGGCGCCGUCCGCGUCGUGGACGACCUCGUGACGGCGGGGAGGGAUGUCAAGUCGGCGGCCGUGGGCAGAGUGCAGGGGCUCACCACGUCGGCCGACUUGAAGGUGAGCGCCGUCGCGGUCAAUUUCAACUUCGUCUUCACGUCGGGGAAGUACAAUGGGAGCACGGUGAGCAUCGCCGGGAGGAACGAGUUCCGGCUGGCGGCGCGUGAGCUUCCGGUGAUCGGCGGCACCGGCCUUUUCCGGCUGGCUCGUGGCUACGCUAUCACGAGCACUUACUCUUUUGAUGUGCCCACGAAUUAUGCUGUGCUUGAAUAUAAGAUUUAUGUGGUUUAUUCUGAAGUUCAAUUCUAGGGUUUUUUAAUGUUGUAAUAAGUGUUUGUGUGAUAAUUUAUUUUGAUGCAUUAUUAUGGAUACUUAGGAGACUACUAUUAAACGCGUAAAGUUACCAAUAUAUAAGUGGAGAAAUGGUCCCAUAUUAAUUAUGAUGUUUAGUGGAAGAAUUAUUUAUGGGACAGACAAAAAGAAAAAUAAUGCAUGUUUUUAAAUUACACCUUAUAAUCUUACCUUUUUUUUCGAGGAAAGUAAAUAUCAUGACCUUUGGGUAAAUUUGUAACUCACUGAUAUAUAUGUUAAUCAGACAAUAAUUAGACAACAGGAUCCGUGGCGCAAUGGUAGCGCGUCUGACUCCAGAUCAGAAGGUUGCGUGUUCGAUUCACGUCGGGUUCAAAUCCCCCGAUUCUAAACGGAUUAUUUAUUUUUUAGAAAUAUAUUUAUUUUUAAUUCUCACUAUCUCCACUAUAAAUUGCAGUUGUAAGUCAUAAGUAAGCAUUAUUAUUUGAUUGCAAUUUAAAGUCAUAAGUAAGCAUUAUUAUUUGAUUGCAAUUUAAGUAGUGAAAUUGUGAUUAUAAUGUAAAGUAUAAGAAUUUACAAAAAUAUGGUAUGUCUUAUUAAUUUUUUAAGUAUUAAGCAAUAAAAAACUAUUGUACAUUGCUAUUGAAGCAAGUUCAACAAAUCCCAUAUUCACUGUUCUUGAAAUGCGAAAAGCAGCAUUCAAAACAGCAUAUGCUGCAACUUCUCUUUGUCCAUAUAUAUAUGCAACUGAUCAACAAAACCAUAUAAGCAAUAUUCAUGGACUCAAAUCAUUCAUCUCUAUAAUGCAUCAAAUCUGCUAUCUAUAUUCAAAUGCUACAUCUUCUCACAAAUAACACGAUGCAGAUCAUAGGCAGAGAGAAGGGAGGCUUUAGCUAUACCAGCGAAGCACAAAAAUCGAGCUUACGCAUCAGGCGAAACCCGGUUGAGAUCUAGAACAUGACUCACUGAGGAGUAAAUCCAACUCCAGAAUCUAAAAGAAUGCAGAAAGCCUAGUUUGAUAUGGUGCUGAUCCAAUUAAGGAGUAUAUAUACCUCAGUCUUCCUAAUGUUUCUUCUUUCUUUUGUGUCUUUCGUGCUCAGAGCUUCGAUGUGAUCGGCUGGGAGAGUCCUUCCUUUUGUGUUUACCGUGCUUCGAGUGCCUUCUGCUGCUGCUGCUCUUUCCCCUGGAGGUUUCCUUGUCGUCUCUCCUCGACCUGGAGUGGCGUCGUUCUCGAACAUCAGAGUCAUCUGAUGAGCCAGUAUCUGAACUCCUGCUUCUUUUGCUCUUACGCCUCCGGCUCCUUGAGUGUUUUCUGCUCCUCUCGUCUUCUGAAGAACUACUACUACUCCAGUUCCGAGCUUUGCCACUGCUCGGAGGUGCAUCUUCUCCACGGGCCUUGCCGGAUUUAUUUUCUUUGUUAUCUGCAAAUUUACUACCAUCUGAGUGAUGUGUGCUUAAUCCAUUUGUGGAACUUUGGCCUGCCUUUUGAUCAGCUGGCGUAACCACUUUAGCCGAAAGAGGGCUCUCGUUUCUCUCAUCUGCAUCGGUAGCAACUCUUUUGCCAGCUUUAUUUUCUGGUGGUGGCAUCUCAGGAGGGACCAAUAAACCUAGUUCUUUCCCCAGUGUUUCUAAGAAGUCCCCAGCCAUCAAACGAUUAAGUGUCGUAUUUGCAGCUUCGAUCUUCUUUUCUGUAUCCUCCACUUGAUCGGAUGUGCUUUUUUCUUCUUCAUCGUCUGAAUCAUCAGAAAAAAUGGCCUGCAAAAACAACGAGCAUUGAUAGGCAACCCAAGUAGCAAUAACACUAGUAGAAGUUACAAUAUAUACAGAGAUGACGGAAGUACUUUGUAGAGAUCAACGGGCCUCUCAACAUUUUCGACUUCCACCUCAAUCUCAGCUUCCUUCUCUAUUGUUUCUUUUUCUUUCUUUCCGUUGUGUGCUGAUGAUCUCCGCUCUGCAGGAACAUGUUCGUUCACAUCUGCAGCUCUGAUGGAAUCCGGCAUGAAAAUCAAAGAGUCCAUUUUGCUCUUCACACGCGGAGCAGGAGGAGGCUGCACGUUCGGAUAGGUAUAUGUAAUAGUCUUUAAAUGCCACAGCCAGUCAGAAAAGCAAUAAAUCGGUAGCAUAGAAGUCCUCAAGUGUAAUAUCAGGUACAAGAAAAAACAGAAAGAAUGACAUGUAAAUGGAAUACCUUGCCCAUGUAAGGAUCAAUCAAAUCGAAACGCUUGCAUAAGAUAGGAGCUGGUCGCCACUGAAACUCUUCCCGCUUCGGAUACAUUGCUUUUGCUAUCAAUUCAUCUUCCAUCGAAGCUACCUGUUUCUGCAUAAUCAUUCAUGUUCAGGAUGCAUUAUGGUCAGCAUGUAUUUUACUUCACAUAAUACCUGCAACGAAAUCUUCGUUAGUAUAUACAUACCUCUACUCCACCAGCAGUGAACUGUAAUCCUGAAACAGCCGACAGGUCCUUAAGCAACUGACUGCUUGCCUGCCUUUCAUUACCUAAAUUUGCUUUCUGCACUGCACUUGCAGCUUCAUCAAAUUCUAAUCUUUCACGAGCACGAGCAGCUUCAGACAUAUCACUGGAACCACCAGAGUCUUUAGUUCGCAGACCUCCUUCAAAUUUCUCCUUCAAGAAUUGUUCAAAUCUUAUCUGCUUCGCAGGGUCGUAUUGGAAAGGUUUUCUGACAUCUGCUUGCUCAUUCUAUUAGAAAUACAAGAACCCAAAAAAAAGUAUUAGUAUCCCGGUUAGCAGAGAAAACCAGUGCAUAUAGAGGUACUCACCGCAGGUGCAGGUUUGGUGAAUGUAUCUGAAAGUUUAAUUUGAACAUUUACAGAAGCAGCAGAAGCAACCAUAGAGCUUGAAUCUCUUGAAUUUCUCUCGAGUGCUUUUUCUCCUAGAAUUGCUCCACGUCUUUCAACAGUCAGCUUUUCUGAGAUAUCCGACUUCUUCUCUUCCCAUAGUUUGCUUUGUUCACCACGUUUUUGGCGCUCUUCCCAGAGCUUCCUUGCAUAAUAAUCAGAACCAUUUCCUCCACUAAGGAAGGCAAAUAGUGGAUUAGACUGAUUCUUCUCUUUGGAGAGAUCCUCAAACAAUUUUCCGCAGCGAGCGACUAAAGUUGCCACCCCUUCAAUCAAGACCUUAAGAUUGUAAUCUUCUGGCGGAGGGACCUCAGUGGGAGGGAUUUCAGUGCUCUUGCCGUCAUUAUCAGCAGAAGCAGGAAACUUAUGAUGGGGAACAAAAUCCUCUGGAAUUGAGGGAGGACUGAAUCUGCGAAUAUCCGACACAAGUGAAGUUGCCUUACUACUUAAAUGAACAAGCUAAAAUAGAAAGAUACGUAUUUAUGAAGAAAUGCAAAACAAAGCUAAGAAAAAUUGUAAAUGAGGAUGUCAUUUAGAAAGAGUGACAUGAUACUAGAAUUUAAAUGAGGCAUGGGGGUUAGGGAGCAAUAUUGACCUCUGACUUCAAAGAAAGAAAUACAAGCAUUCAAGCAAUCAAUUCGGGAGGGUGGGGGCACUUAGAGAAGAUGUAACCCAAGGACAGUAGUUCCUACCUCAAGAUGGUUACUUAUACAGAAGCUUCAAAGGCAGAAGAAGGUAGCACAGAUAAAUACCUCUGUAGUUGGUGCUCUGAUUUUGACGCAGCUUUAAACCCAGGCAGAACAUCGUCUUUCUUUUUAUCUAAUAUUCGCAAAGUAUCCACCUUUGCUACUGAGGGCUCUUCUAUUUCUUGCACAUAAGUAUCUUGAACGUCAAUACCUAUUAAAAGAGUAUCUAUGAGAAGAUAUAAUAACUUCAUAAGAGAGAAGAGUAAACAUUGUUGUCAAGCAGUUGCAAACUUAUAAAAGGACUUGACUAUAACAAGAAAAGAGGGUAAGUUGAUGUCAGUUUAUGCUUUCUCCUUUUAUUUCAUCCUUCCCCGUCUUUCUACCUUUAUCUACUAUUUCUCUACAAUAUCUGCCAAUUUCCGCUUCUAUGACCCAAAUCAUAGUGUUAGGAGGGGAAGAGACUGAAAACUCAACCCAAAUCAACCCAUGCUUCUAUGACCAAGUCGCCAAGCUAAGCAGACAAGCGGCAUGAAUCAAUUAAUAUGCAACAAAAACUAGUGAAAAAAUCACUACCAGUGUCAUAUAUAUCUUCGUCUUCAGCAUCUAAGUCUUCAAGAGCUCCAAUGCCAAAACCUGGGGCAAUCUUUCCUGAAUAUAUAUAAUUAAUAAAAUUAGAAUAUCCUAUUGCCAAACUGUACAGAUAAACACGAGUUACGCUCACCUUUUGCAGUAAGUGACCUAUAAGGUUCCAUAUUUCCCUUUCCAGACAUUCUCUGUCUUUUCUUUUCUAAAAGAAAAGAAUGUAAGAUGUUAAAUUUCUAAGGAAUUUAUUUAUAUAUAGAAUUAGUCAUCUAAAUACAGAAAGUGACAUACCCCUAAACUCUGGAGCUUGCUUGAAAGGAUCAUAGCCUAAACCAUGCAAAUCUUGCUUGGGGUCGACUACAUAUGCCUGCAAAAGACGAUCAAGACUCAGAGUGAACAAACUCGUGGAAGAAACCACACUACGAUAAUCAGUGUCAUGAGACAUCAGCACAUAGAUAUCAAUAAAUAUUCAUGUCUAUAAGACUGUAUAGUCCAACUCUACAAACAAAACUAAGUAAUUUAUUUCAGACACUUAUUGAUAAAGGCAAAAGAGAAACACACUCCACCGGAGGUGUGAGAAGCUAACAUAUAUCCAGAAAAUGGCCACCACAGAAUCAACUUAUUGUAGUUAGGUAAACAGUUAUAAAAUCUAACCGGCACAGUUUUAUAGAACCGGUCAUCAUCAUUGGCUGGCAAAUCUGGAUCAUUUCCAGUGUCCUCUUCAAUAAGCUUAGAGCGUGCAGUCCCCGAUCCUGCAUCACUUGAGAGUGCCAGAAAAGCUUUCCUAGCUUGUCUACGAGCAACUUCAUGAAUAUGAUAAACAAGGUUAAUAAAAGACCACUGAAUGGUUUAAGCAGCGCACAUGACAUUCUUAUACAAGAAAUCUUCUGUGGAGAUAAGAUCUGGAACAAGACAACAAGAACAGAAAAGAUCCAUCUGCCAACUUGCCAUGUAGCUCUGCCCAAAGAGAUAUUCUACUAAACACUGGACUAGCUAGUUUGUUAAUUUCUUGAUAUCAGUAUGAUAUGUUGAGACCAGAAUAAACUACACAUAACAUAUCUAUCUUCUCAGCCAUAACUGCCAAAAAUUUAAUUAGAAUUAGUGGGGUCAGAAACAUCAUCACAAAGUACAAGAAAUAGCAGGAUGAAACUUAAACCAAUACAAUUAUCAUUACCAAUCAUCAAUUGACUUCAAGUCUCACGAUCAAACCAUAAACAAAUUUAGGCACAGAAGGAUCCAUUACUAUUCAUGUGAUGAUGCAACACCCAAAAGAGGGGCCAAUUUUGUGACUUGUUUUUCCUUAAUUCUUUUAUGUCCAUUAUGAAAUCUUUACAACAAGCUUCAUAACAGCUAAAAACAUACAAUUUUAAGAAGUAUCAGAUGAACGCCAUAUCUUAUAGCCUCAUUUUUCAGUCAAGAUCAGCAACUUCAACUUUAUCAAUCAAGCAAAAACUCACAUAUGCAUCCCCAAAUAGGGUAAAGUGGUCAUACAGCACUCCGUCGCACCAUUUUAGUUGGAGGAUUAAGACAUUUCCAGUUACAUAAAUCAUCAGAUAAUUUAUUAAAAAUCACAUACAAAAUAUCAAUGUUAUAAGAUCAAAAGAAAGAGUAGUUCAACAAGUUCUCUAAGAAGCCUACCAUCAAGUGAAUUCCUAUUAGAAUCCUUUAUGGACCGUCCUGGCCGCCAUCCCAUCUUUAUCAACAGUUUGACACCUAAUCCAAAGAAGGACGAUAAUUCAAAGAGAUGAAACAACAUGUAGCAAGAAUACAUAUCUGGCACGGACCUAUAGAUUCUGUUGCCGGAACUACUAGUUCAUCAGGAACAGGUCCAGGAAUUGCUGAAGGCCUAAAUAAGUAAUUGAAAGAAAAAAGAUAAAGGUAUGAGUCUCAAAUUCAGAAAUUGAAUUGACUAAGCCAAAUAAAGGACUGAGGUAAGUAGAAUAUGUAGAGGCACAGGCUAAUAAAUAAUGCUAGAUGGGACUCUAAGCUUUUGGAAGGAAGACAAAAUGCAUAACAGCCAAUUAUCUCCCAUCAAGACAAUAUACACAACACUUCUGUAUCCCCAUCUUAAGCAACAUAAGCUGGUUGAGUAAAGGUGAAAAUCAGUUAAACAUGCUAAUUACAGAUUUGCAUCAAAGAUGACUCAGUUAACUAAUCAAUAAUCUACUACAUCACAUAGUAUCUAACAAGAGAGCUGAGAAAGUAGACCAGAUCCUAAGAAUCUGCUGCUAUGCCCAUCUACCAUAUUUAGAAACUCACACCACAAGAUCAAUUAAAUUGUCCACAGAUCAUACAAUUAUUUGAAAACAUGAAAAAAAUCUACAUAAAUUAAAUUUAUAGGAAUUCAAAAAUAUGUAUCUAAGAGGAGAACCUUUGUUGUUGGUCCUUAUCAGCCUCUUUUCGAGCAAGUUCGGCUGCUGUAAACCCAAAUGUGUCAAACUGCAUGGAUGACCCCAAGGAGCGACCUUCCAAAUCCUAGAACAUUGAAUCAAAAAUUGGAACUUUCAAAGGUAAAUUGGAGACAGCAGAAUGGCCCACAAUUACUAAACAUCAAACUCAAUAUUAUCCUAUUAUCAUUCUUCAAUAAAGCAACAUCGAGCUAGGCUCGCAAAAUGGAAGAGUAUACUCCGUAUUUCUUAUUAUAGAGGCAAGGCAAAACACAAUGACAAGGCAUACAGCUUUCUCAUCCUCAUCCAGGAAGUUAAAAAUGCUCUGCUUAGUGACUUCAGCCCUACUCUUCCGAGAUGACGUAAAUGAUUGUGGAGUCCAUCCUGCAAGUUCCAGCAGCAAUAAAUAUACAUUUCUGUGUCUAUUCACAUAUAAAACACACAGCCACACAACUCAAUCGAGAUAGACUGAACAGUACAACACCUUCUUUGGAGCCAACAGUGUUGUAGUAACCAGCAGAAUAUCCACCAGUAAAUGCUCCAUGAAACCUCCUCCUCCCCUCUUCAUCUGUCACCUGGCAAGUUCCCAACGCAAAAAAAUUAGAGCUAAUCUAAAGGGGAAUCCCAAUAACAGCAACUCAGAAAAUAAAACGAAAAGCAAUCUUCUUUCUGUGAAAACCACGGUCACAUUUAACAAAUCCUUGCAGCCACUCAAUUUAAACAUCGUCUAGAAAAAUUGCAGGUAUUAGUUCGUUACCAAGUAAUUGAGCUAAUGCACUUAAGAAUACAACAAUAGCUAUGAUUAUCAACCUUUCUCCACCAAAACUCGAAGCCUCAGAAAUUCUAACUGUUACAAAAAGACGCACAGCAAUUCAAUUUCAGAAAUUUAGGGAUAUUUCAGCUAAUAGUCUUAACCUCUUGUUUCCACGGAGGAAGAGCGGUUCUGAGCUGACCGGAAGCCUCCGCCACCGCCUUCUUCUUGCGACUGGUGAAUUCUUCUUCUCGCCCAAUCGGUGUGCCGUAGAACACAAAAUCAUCUUCGUCGCCCAUUUUUCUCUUCUCCUUUUCUGUGCUGUGUAAUUUCUUCGAUUAAAAGUGUUCGAUAAAAUGCUUGAAUGAAUUGAAACAAGUUUCUUUGUUGAGCCGGAAGAAGAGGUUUUGGCCGGAUUUCUAACUGGCCGGUCCGUGAACCGGGUAUCAAUAUGUGUAGAAUUAUCGGGUAGGGCCGAACGAGAAAUGGGCAAAUAUCCGACCCGGUUAGUUUGGGCCGUGAGUGAGGAUUUCAGUUUGAGCAAGACGGAGAGAAGAGGCCCAAUGAAAAAUGAGUGAGGAGACAGGAUUUUAUUUUUAAUUUUCAUUUAAGUAUAUCACUAAUUUUAGGUUUUUCAUUUUUUAUUAAUAAUAAACUUUAAAGAUCUUAUAAGCUAAGCCAAACACCGUCUUAAUCAGUCAACAGAACUAAUGACGAGCAAUUAGUUUUUUUAAAAAAUGGUAGUGAUCAAUUAUUUAGUGGUUGGCUGAAAAUGAGUGAAGUUGAAAGUGAAUAAAAAAUUCUUAAAAUAUGUUAGUGAUCAAUUAUUUAGUGGUUAAUAAAAAAAAAUGGUAGUGAUCAAUUAUUUAGUGGUUAAUUUUAAUUUUCAAUAUUUACUUUAUCAUCAAAUGAAUGAAAAGUCAUAUGAGAUAAAGAAAUUCAUACAUGUUUGAAUUUGUUCAAAAUUAUUGUUGCUUUCUAAAUAUGACAACUUUUUUAUUUUUUAAUGAUACAUAUAAUUUUUUUAUCCAUAUAAUUAUCUUUGAUAGAUACUAAAUUAAGUUCGAAUAUGUUUAUGUGUCUAUUAAUAUAUCAAGAAUAUGUGUUUAUAUAUGUUGUGUCAAGGACCAAUAUACUUAAUAGAAAUUAUUUUCAUCAUUUAAAUUGUGAAGAUCUUUUACUGAAAUCAUAGUUUUUUUUAAGUUCAUCAAUUUUCACGGCAAAUUCGUAAUAUUACAUAGUGAAUUCAUGGACAACUUAUUUCAUAGAGAGAUCAAUUUGAUUUGUAUAAUCAUAACAACUUCCUAUAUAAGUGAUAAUAUAUCUAUAUCUACACGCAAUUGAUUUUUAAAUAAUUUUUUUUCCAUACAAUUUCAUUUUUUUACAACUUCACAUUGUAAAUUGCACUUCAUAUAUUAUAAGUAGGAGAUGAUGAGCAAGCAAUAUGCAAUAGUAGCUCCACUCAAAUGAACAUGACUCCUUUGUAUAUCAUUUGCUACUUCGUCUACACAACUCUCACUUCCACCAUAUUAUCUCUCCUCCUCGGCCUCCGCCUCCUCCGCCGCCUUCUUUCCUCUUCGAGCACCGACGCCGGAAACGUCAUCGCACUCUAUGAAGGCACCGUCAACCACGAGCGCCGCCACCCCGCCCGCAACUCCUUCCGGUUCACCACCCGUUACGCGCUCCUCGACCUCGACCGCCCGCCCUACGCGCCCCCUGCCUUCCUCUCCGCCGACGAGGCUCGUCGUGCCGCCAAGACAAACGGACCAGUGUAAUGUUUGAUUUUUUUUUAGCUGUAUUCUAUAAUGCAUGCAUGUUAAUAUUAUAUAUUCACACGAUAAAUAUAUAACUGUAAUUUCUUUUACCGGAUUUAGUGUAAUAAACUCAUUUCUAAAUAAUUGUAUAAAUUUCAAACAAUUAUUAUGGUGUUUAUGAAAUGAAAUAUAAUUUAUUUUUAGAUUCAAUAAAUUUCAAUCAGAUCUAAAUCUAAAUUAAAAAAAAAAUGAAUAUAAUAUAAACCUGACAAGAUUCUAUCCAAAUUCGACUUGCCAUCCCUAUUGUCAGAGAGCUAAAUAUUCCCAUAAGAUUUUGUGAUUCAAUUUCGGAAUAAGCCAGCCAUGCUGGGGAGUUGGAACCCAAUUUCGACUCAUUAUAUGGCUGUUUUUUGCCUGCAAUUUGUAGCGUUAUAGCAUGUUUUUGGAUUGUUGUGUAUAUUAUACUAUAUAUAAUUAAUUAAUUUAAAUUGCAUUAAUCUUUAUUAUAGUAGUAUGUGAUUAUAGAAAAUAUAUAUUUUGGCAGAUUUCUUUUGACAACACCUGCAAGCGUAGGAUAUCGAUGCAGUCCCGUGAAUAUAUACUACUGCUAUGAUAUCCAAGGCUCGAAAAGGAUUUUCAAGAGAUGCCUUAUUGAGGUAAUUUUUCCAACUAGCAUACAUAUAUAAACUUUAUUAUUAUAGCAACAAUUUUAAAACUAUUUUUGUCAUAUUUAUUUUAAUAUUAUGAUCAGGGUUCUAAUACACCUUGGGGUGAAAGUGUAACGUUUGUGUUCAACCCAACCUCCGACUUAGUCCCAAAAUGUGAAUAUAUAAGCCCUUUCUCGGUUAGUCAAUUGCCACUACUUCUCUUCUAAUUAAUAACAUAUUUUAGGUAUCUAGCUCGAUUGAUAACAAGAUUAAUCUUGUUUAUAUGUAAAUUAAUUUACUUUUAUUGACGAUUACUCUAAGUUUUGAAGGAUAUGCUCGGACAUUGGAAGCUUAAAAUGAGUGAGCCGGAGGAGGAUUUAUAUGCGUAUAUGUCUGUUCAACAUCCCAACUUCGGUAAUAAUAAUCUUGUAGCUUCGUUGAAGGCCAAGAAAGUCGAAAUCUCCUCUACUACACGAGAGGAUCUUGAAGCAUUCUUCUGGUUGCAACCACAUAAGAUCACAAUUAUUACCUAUUGGAAUGUAAGUCGUCUUUUAUAUACUCCAUCAGUUCCACUUCACUUGGCCUAGUUUCUUUUUUUGGGUCGUUCUGUUUAUUUUUUAGUAAUAAAUUUUUAUUAUAAUAGAUAUGGGUCCAUAUACUUUACAAUAUAAUCUUAUUUUACUUUUUUUAAUAAUUGUGCUGAAAAUAAGUAGAUCAAGUAAGGUGGGACGGAGAGAGUGUUAUCUUUACAUUUUGACUUAUUCUAUUAUAAUUGUAAUUAAAAAUAGAUAUAGCUAGUUGAAUUAAUGUGAGGUUUACUUGUUUUCCUUUUGUAUAUUACCAUUAGGCUGUUCGACUUUGGUGGAAACGUGUGCCUUUUUACGAACAUCCAAGAAAAGAGAAUCCGGCCUAUAGGGAAGAAGCUAUAGCAAAAAAUGGAAAGACAACUCAAUUUUGCCCUGGAUUUGGAGGGAAAAUUGCAGGAAACGAUGUCGUUUCAUGCGAAGAUCAGACGCUUGAUCGCUGCUACAUGUGGAAAGAUGCUCCAUCGCCAUGGUCAAACCUAAUCGCACCAUAUCCUUAAUUAUCACCAGAAAAAUUAAUUUGUUGCUCUUGUCUUCUUCUUAUAUUUAAAUGCUGAUGGAUGAUUUUGAAUAUAUAGAUAUAUUAUUCAUAUUAUAUGCACCCAUGGUUUACACGACUAUAUUUUCAUAUUACUUAUGACAGGUCAUCUCGGACUCCACAGAAUUUGAAAAAAAUAAUUUCAUUUCUAUGAGCCUCCAAUAAUUGUAGCAUAUAUAGUUAAAUAUUUUCUUCUAGGCAACAAUGUUUUCUCUACUGAUGAAGAGGGUUUUGCUCUACUUCGUGGUACGAUGAUAAUAUCGAUCUGCUGUUAAAACAUCAAUAUUUAUAAAAUAAACAGAUAUAAUUGAUACAUGCAAGUAUAUAAUGUUAGGAAAUUAGACGCAACAUUUUGGAUAUCGACCGAUAUGAAACGAGAAAAAUNCACCGGCAAAAUCUGCAUCUACAAAACCUUGUAGUGCUACAUCACCUCGUCGAAAACACAAGCAUCUAUCAGUAGAUCCACGUAGAUAUCUCAAUAUCCACUUUACUGCUUCCCAAUGCUGCUUUCCUGGAUUUGCCAUAAAUCUGCUCACAACUCCCACUGCAUGAGCGAUAUCUGGUCUAGUACAGACCAUGGCAUACAUCAGACUUCCAAUGGCUGAGGCGUAAGGAAUUUUAGCCAUGAAGUUCUCUUUCCUCCUUAGUCUUUGGAGAGUGCUCUUUGGAUAGGCGGAAAUGGUUAGCUAAUGCUGAGCUAACCGGCUUAGCACUGCUCAUGUUGAAUCUUUGCAAGAUUCGAUUGACGUAGUUGGCCUGAGACAACUGCAAAACACCUUUUUGCUUGUCUCUGUAAAUUCUCAUCCCAAGAAUUUGCUUUGCUUCUCCUAAGUCCUUUAUCUCGAACUCCGCUGAAAGCUGUCUUUUCAACUUCUUGAUUUCGUUCAAGUCUGAGCCGGCUACUAACAUGUCAUCAACAUAAAGUAGCAAGAUGAUAUAGCUGGACUCGAACCUCUUGAAGUAACAACAAUGGUCAGCAUUGCACUUCAUGUAGCCAUUUUUCUGCAUGAAUCCAUCAAACUUCUUGUACCAUUGCUUUGGAGCUUGCUUCAAGCCAUACAGGCUCCUUUUCAACUUGCACACCAGCUUCUCAUUUCCUUUGACAGAGAAUCCAUCUGGUUGUUGCAUGUAUAUUUCCUCCUCUAAGUCACCAUUGAGGAAAGCAGUUUUCACAUCUAACUGCUCUAGAUGCAAGUCCUCCGUUGCAACAAUACUCAGGACCGAUCGGAUUGUUGUCAACUUUACAACCGGAGCAAAGAUAUCUGUGUAGUCAAUUCCUUCUUCCUGUUGGAAACCUUUGACUACCAAUCUUACCUUAUAUCGCUUUGAACCAUCAUGCUCUUCUUUGAUUCUGUACACCCAUUUGUUGUGUAGAGCUUUCUUUCCUUUGGGCAACUCAACUAGUUCCCACGUCAUAUUAGAGAUAAGAGAUUUUUAUCUUCUUCUUUCAUUGCAACUCCCACUUGACAGAAUCUCCGACUUGACAUGCUCUUCAUAGAAUUCAGGUUCACCAGCAUCGGUCAGUAACAUUUGAUUCAUGUACUUCCUGUUUAGAACAUGAGGUCGAGAUGACCUCCUGGGUAUAGGAGUUGGAGCUGGAACUGGAGACUGUGGUGGAUCAGCCUCAGAGUUGGGCUCCUCCGUCUGCAAACCUUCAUCUGUUUGCUUUGAUGUACUGCACUCUUCAAUAUCAUCUGGAUCAACGUAUGUUGGAUCGUCACUUGUUGUGUCGGUGGACUGCACUGCAUUCCUGUCCUUGUACAUCACAUUUUCAUUGAAUAUGACAUUCCUGCUUCGAAUGACCUUCCUGUUUUUGUCAUCCCAAAAACGGUACCCGAACUCAUCUCCACCAUAUCCAAUGAAAGUACAUUUUAGUGAUUUGGAGUCGAGCUUACUCCUGGCAUUAUCACUAAUGUGUACAUACGCGACACAACCAAAUACUUUCAAGUGAGAAAGUUUAAUUUCUUUGCCGCUCCAAACUUCCUCAGGUAUUCUGUACUCCAAUGGUACAGAUGGCCCAUGGUUAACGAGAUAUGCCGCUGUGUUGACAGCUUCUGCCCAAAAUUGUGUUGGCAGUCCUGCAUGUAUCCUCAUGCUCCUAGCUAGCUCUUUCUGUCAACGUCCGGUUCAUGCGUUCUGCAACUCCAUUUUGUUGUGGUGUCCCUGGCAACGUCCUUUCUAACUUGAUGCCAUCCUGGUAACAAAAUUUCUUGAACGCCAUAUCUUCGUAUUCUCCACCAUUAUCGGAUCUCAACUUCUUUAUCCGUAAUCCAGUUUCAUUUUCCACCAUGGCCUUCCACUUCUUGAACGCCUCGAACACCUCUGACUUGUGUCUCAAGAAGUAAACCCACACCUUUCUCGAGUGGUCAUCGAUGAAAGUCACAAAGUAAGACUUUCCGCCAUUGGAUGAAACUGCUGCUGGGCCCCAAACAUCUGUGUGGACUAACUCAAGCUUUACUUGCUUCGGAGUUCUACCACUGGUAUUGAAACUCACCCUCUUCUGCUUCCCGUAGAUACAACUUUCGCAAAAGUCUAUAUCAACAGACUGAAGCUCUAGUAGUUUCCCUUUCGAAUGCAUAUACUUGAGCCCUUUCUGGCUCAUGUGCCCAAGUCUUUGGUGCCACAAUUUGCAUUCUUCUUGCUAUCAGCAACUGCAAUUGUCACACACGCAUUCAUCGUUGUGUAUAGGCUUCCAGUAUCCUUGCCACGUGCAAGAAUCAUUCGCGCCCUUAGUGAUUUCCAAUAAUCACCAGAGAAGUGUGUAUCACAUCCUUCUCUUGACAAUUGCUUGACGGAGAUCAAGUUCUUCCUCAACUCUGGAAUGUGUCUCACGUCCUUCAAUUUCCAUACAGAUCCAUUGAGUUUGAUCUGUACUUCUCCUAUGCCCACCACGCUGCAUGGAUGAUCAUCUCCAAGAUAUACUUCUCCGAAAUUUCCCGACAUGUAAUUUAUGAAGGAAUUUCGAUUCGAGGUGGCAUGGAAAGAUGCUCCAGAGUCUAUGACCCAAUACUCGGCCCUUUUCUCCAUGGAACAUAUCAAGGCAUCGCCUUCUUCUUCAGCCACAACAUUGGCUUCGGUCUUUGUCUCGUUUCCCUUUGAAGGUACUUUACACUGCGUUCUGUAGUGUCCGACCUGACCACAGUUCCAACAUUCAACAGACUUUGAUUUGUUGGAAUUCUUGUGGAUCCUGGAGCUCUGCCUGCCAUUCCUUGACUUGCUCCGUCCACGCCCUUGACUUCUGUUUGAGUUUCUGCCUCUGCUUUCUGCAUUUAAAGCGGCACCUGAAGUGGAGACUACAUCUGACUGCCUCCGGAUCUCUCGGUUAAGAUCAUGCUCACGACAUCAUCGAACUUCAUUUUGGACUUACCGGCAGAGCUGCUAAUGGCCGUAACUGUGCCAUUCCAGCUCUCAGGUAACUGCCCAAGAAUUAACAAAGCCCGGACCUCAUCAUCGAAUUUGAUGUCCACCGUGGUAAGUUGGUCCGUCACUUCGUUGAACUCGUUCAAAUGUUCUCCAAAUCUUCCGCUCUCCGUCAUUUUCAUAUUGAACAAUUUCUUGAUCAAAUGAACUUUAUUUGCUGCAGACGGCUGCUCGUACAUGCUGGAUAAAGCUUUCAUGAGAGACGUUGUUGUCUUCUCAUGCUUUAUGUUGAAGGCGACUGACUUUGAUAAGGUCAGUCUGAUUGCGCCGAGUGCUUUUCGAUCAAGCACCUCCCACUCGUCGUCCUUCAUAUCCACUGGCUUUUCCUUCAAGGGCUUAUACAGGUCCUUCUGGUACAGUAAUCCUCCAUUUGCAUUUUCCAAAAUCCAAAAUUCACACCAUUGAAUUUUUCCAUUUUGGAAAUUUUAUCGUCUGUCGACAUUGCUCCCACUCGAUCAAAAAACACGAUAAUUUUCUCAAAAAAUUCGUUUCUGAUGUGGAGGUUACAGUUUUACACUGCAACCACAGAGCAUACUAAGAAAUUUAAAAGAAUAAUUACCGUUGCGCACGAAACACUGUUCGCAAAAAUUUACUAUUCACGAAUUCACUAUUCACGUGAAUAGUACCAGCGCAAGAAAAAAAAUUUUCGCCACCAACGUGGCUCUGAUACCAGUUGUUAGGAAAUUAGACGCAACAUUUUGGAUAUCGACCGAUAUGAAACGAGAAAAAUAAAUGACACCGAUAUUUUUAACGUGGUUCGGCCAAACUGCCUACGUCCACGGACCCACACCAAUAUAUUAGAGAAUCUCAAAAGGAGGAGUACAACAAAAUUACCACACUGUAUUUUGUAUCUGCCUACGCAGAGGCUAUCUCUCAACUCACUUUUAUCACUCGUGUAUAACUUCCACACUGAAGUUUUCUCUCACAAGAUUUUUCUCUCUCUAUUUCUCUCUCUAUCUUUCUUAGCUGAAAGCUUUGUUUGAUAGUUGUUUGGUGUGUUGUGUUGCUGCUGCGAGGAAGAAUUUUAUAGGGGAUGAGAGGUGGUAGGUGGCAGAUGGUGGUAGGUGGCAAAGAGUGGGAGGUGGUAGGUGGCUUACCUACUUCCAUUUUUUACUAACAUAUAAUACUAUAUGCAUGCAUUAUUAAAAUGGGAUUAUAUAUAUAAAAAAAGAAAGAGAAAAAAGUAUCUAAAAAACCCUUGAAAGCACAGGAAGCAGACUAAGGGCCGAGUCUCAUUAAAACCUCCUUAAACAUAUAUAAUACUUUAUGCAUAUUCUCACACACACAUGAUCAUCUCGGACUCCACAAGUUCUAGUUUUGAUAUUUGAAACUUUUAGUUUUACGAGACUCGAUGAUUGUAACAUAGCUAAAUAUCUUCAUCUAAGGCUUCUACAAGUUUUUUAUUUUUAUGUUAAUUAGAUGAUGAUUUGGGUAGAGUUAGGUAUGACCAUGGCCAUGGAGCAUCUUUCCACAUGAAGCACCGAUCAACCAUUCCUUCACGACGAACGACGUCGUUGCCUCCAAAUGCAGGGCACAUUUGAAUCUUCUUUUCAUUUCGUUUUAAAGCUUCUUCCCUAUAGCUUGGAUUCUCUUUUCUUGGAUGUUCAUAGAAAUGAGCAUUUCUCCACCAAAGCUUCACGCCCUUCACAAACAUGCACACCAAAGGAAAUAAAUAUAAAAUUAACAAAUUAAUUAAAUAAAACAUAAGUUUAAUUAACAAAAUAAACUGACUUACAUUCCAAUACGAAAUAAGUGAACCUUUAUGGGGUUGCAACCAAAAGAAUGCUUCAAGAUCAUCCGGCGUUGUAGAGGAUAUUUCGACUUUCUUAGCUUUCAAAGUCGCAAUAAAAUAAUUAUUGCCAAAAUAUGGAUGUUCAACCGAUAUAUAUGCAUAUAAAUCCUCGCCUGGUUCACUCACUUUAAGCCUCCAAUGUCCAAGCAUAUCCUUCAAAAUAUAAACUAUCCGUCACAAAAAUAUUACAAGUUCGAAUUUUACGGAUUGAGAUUCAGUGUACCAUAUUUGAUAUCGCACUUUAUAUUCCAUUUUCAAUUUUAUUUAUUUUCUUGUAAUUUUUUUUCUCCAGUUUCAACUUUUUAUGCUCUAGCUAGUUUAAUUUUAUGGAGUAAUUAUUAACUAGGGUUUAUUCCAACUAAUCAGGGUAUAAAAUCAGUUUUUUUUACUAUCAUUUAAUUAAUUUCACUUUUAUUAGUUGAUAAUAGAUUGAUAAAUUAAAAGUUAUGGUAUCUAUUUUUUUAAAAUUUAAAUUUUUUGAAAUAAAGUUAAGUAUAAUUCAUAGUAUUAUGAUAAUUUUAUUUUUAUAAAAAAUAUUAUUAAAAUAAUAGUUAUAAGAGUGAGGCAUUGUAGGACACUGACUUUUACUGACUUUUUUUAGUUGGGAAACGAAAAUAGUUCAACUAAAUUAAAGAAAGAUAAAAUAAUAAUGAAGAGUUAUUAUACUAACCGAGAAAGGGCUUAUAUAUUCACAUUUUGGGACUGAAUCGGAGCUCGGUUCGAACACAAAUGUCACGCUUUCAGCCCAUGGUGUAUUAGUGCCCUAAAACAAAUUAAAAAUUCGAUUUUAUAUAUCCAUUGUUAGUAAAAAUUUACAGUAUAUGUGAAAAUAAUUAAGUAAUGAUGGUGGAAAUUUUGCCUCAAUAAUACAUUUCUUGAAAAUUUUGUUGGAGCCUUCGAUGUCAUAGCAGUAGUAAUAGCUCACUGGAGUGCUUCGAUAUCCCAAACUUGGAAGCGUAGUCAGAAGAAAUCUGGUAAAAAUAUUUCAUAAUUAAACAAGCUAGCCAUGCAUAUACUAAUAUAUAUAUUGAAACUAGCUAGACAAAUAGAUGACACAGUAAUUAAAUUAAAUAUAAGAAAGCUUACACGGGUCCAUUUGUCUUGGCAGUCCGACGAGCUUCGUCGGCGGAGAGGUAGGUCGGCGGCGCGUGGGGCGGGCGGUCGAGAUCGAUGAGAGCGUAGCGGGUGGAGAACCGGAAGGAGUUGCGGACCGGGUUGCGCCGCUCGUGGUGGAGAGUGCCUUCAUAGAGUGCGAUGAUAUUUCCGACGUUCUCGUCGGCGGCGGCGCUGGAGGAGGAAAGGCGGCGGCGGAGGAGGCGGAAGCCGAGGAGGAGAGAUAAUAUGGUGGUGGUGAAAGUUGUGUAGAUGAAGUAGCAAAUGAUAAACAAUGGGGUCAUGUGACUCAUGUUGUUUUGGAAAGGCUUGCUAUUAUUCUAUAGAUACAAUGAUCACAUAUACAUGCAAUGUACGUAUAUUUAUAGAGAGUUUGGUUAACCUCAGAUAAUAUUUUAUCAAUUAAAUAUAGCUAUUUUCAAAACUACACUAUUUUAAUUUCAUGUGUAUUUUAUUUUUCUUCAACUAGAAAUUUAAACGAAAAAUCAUGUGAUAAUAACCUCGUAUAAGAAUAUAUAUAUGCACCCCACAAGACAUUUAUAUAUAAGAAUAUUAUGUUAGAAUUUUAUUGUCUUCAACUCAACCUAUAAGAAUCAUACCUUGCAAGAUAUCCCCAUGUGCACCUCCCAAGGCUCCCAUAUGCAGUUAAAAGGAAAUAAUUAAACUUGUGCCAUGUCAGUUUUUUAUUCUUCAACUAUAUACAAACCUAAAUUCUCUUUUUUUUUUUUUUUUUGAUGAACAAACCCAAAUUCUUUUAGGAUUUGUAAUAAGUAUGUACAAUGUUAACUUGAGUCCUAUGACAUGUGCGAUGAAUUUAAGUAAUUAUAUUCAUUUUAUAAAAUGGGGCUUCAAUGUUUAUAAAGUAGGUAUAUUUUAUCAAUUUGUCGUCUUCUUUUUCUUUUGUAAUUUUUUUUUUAUAAAUUACAUAAGUAAUUUUUGGGCAUUAACUUCCUACUGUUAGAUCUGUACACACUUAUCAAUUUUUGUCUUGUUUACUGAAACAUUUGAUGGUUAUGUACGUGGGUCGAAAAUUAAAUAUACAAAUUGAAAAUUAUAAACAAAAAUAAUCUGCCCUAAAUUAAAAUAUUAGUGUUGAAUAACGUGGGUUGGAUUUUUAUAUUUCAUGCAUGUAGGCUUGGAAUGUUAUGUGGUAAAUGACUACAAACUUAUUAAUAUUAAUAUUAUGGUCAUUUUCUGUUGCAUUUUUAUAAUAUGGGUUGUUACGUACAAGUGGAUGCAUGGUGAUGGUACAAACUAGUUUUUGUCAAUCAAUUUUUUUUUUUUGAGGCAGUCAAUCAUAAUUUUUAAGUACCAUUUGGUCCUAUAAAUUAGCGCGUUUGUAAUUUAAAAUACAAAUAACAAAACGAAUCCCUUUUAAAUUACAUAAACCAAGUCAAACAUUCCGUUGCCUAAAAAAGCAAAAGUAAUUACGUGUAAAAAUUUCUAUAAUUUACUAAUUAAAUCAAUUAAAUUAGCAAUCAAUCCUAAAAUAUUAAUUAUUUACUCAGAUCCUAAAGCCUAACCCAUAUUUAUUUCUUUUAAAGCCUAUAAAAAAUAGACAUUAAUUAAAGUCAAGUACAAGUUCGGUAACACAAGAAAAGAAGAAAAAGUUUUCCAUAUUAUAUAUUCAAGUAAACGACUCCAUAAUCCAUAUCAUUUAAUUGAACUUUUGAAAUCAAUCAAAACUUAAAUAAAAUAUUGGAAAAUAUCCUAAAUUCAUUCAACAUCAUCAAUUCAAAACAUAGAAGAAAACUUCCCUAGCUUGCUUUUUCAUCGAUUUUGAUGAGUAGAAAAGAAAAGAAAGAAAAGGAAAAAUAUCAAACUUCCAGAAAAGAAGUUGUCUCUCGCAUUCCCGUAAAUUAUCUCAAUAUCCAUCAGAAGAUAAAUUAAUAAAUAAAUAAUUAUAACUACCAAUUUGGUUUUGAAUGAUAAUUUCCUCAUAUCACUCUAAAAUUCUCAAAAGCCCAAAAGGUACUAUUAUUUAGCCCAAAACACGUACUUAUUUCUUUUAUAAAUAAAACAGUAAAAUAUAUCUAACGCAAUAAAUUAAAUUUCGAACUCAUUUUCUAGUCAGGGGCGCAACUACGAACUCUCUCAAAUCAAAUUCAAAAUCGAGCAUGACAAGAUCAUAUUAUCAAACACAAAAAAUUCAAUUUAAAAAUAUUUUACACAAGUAGAAGAUGAGGUGUGUUAUGUUCCUAUCUCCUUCCGUUUCCCGACUUGUUAUGCUCUCAUCGACCUUAAUCGCCCGCCCUACUCGCCUCCCUACUACCUCGCCACUGAUGGCACCCGACGCGAACGGACACGCAUGCAGCCAACUUAAUUUAGUGAAUAGUUGCUAGCUACCAUAUAAUAUAUACUCCUAUUAUUAAUUUUAAUUUACUCAACGUAUAGACCGAGUACGCUAUGAUCCAAUGAACAUUAUUAAUUUUUUAAAUAUUUUAAACCACCCCUAUAUGUCUAUCUAUUGUAUAUUAAUAAAAUGUGAAUCUUCAAGUAGAAAUUAAUUUAAAAUCAAUUAUAAAAUUAAUUGGUAAUUUGGUGAUUAGAAUAAAAUUGAAUAUUUAUUCAUAUAUUUUUUUUUUCUCUUUUCUAUAAUUUUAUUUUUAAAAAUCAUGACAACAACUUUAAUUUGAUAUAUAUACAUGAUAACUAUAAGAUAUAUACUAUAUAAAAAUAUCCGGCCUAUUGAGUCUUCGACAAGGUUGCACAAGAUAAUGAGUCUCCGGCCUAUCUAACCCUAAAAAGGCCUAAAUGCGAAGGCCCAAAUAUGUUGCCUACUAAAAAAACAACAUGCACUUGCUUGUUGAGGAACAUCAAUAUUUAAACCUAAAAAAUGGGAACAUCAAUGUUUAAACCUAAAUAACCAUAUAUAAAAUUAACACAUUGAUACAUAAGGAUGAUAUAUAUCUACAUUCACAUGACGUGGGCAACAUACAUUACAUUACAUUUUUAUUUUAGGGGGAAAAAGUACGAAUUUAUUGCUCAAGUACAAUAUCCCUAAGUCAACGUGGGAAAUCCUGCGUCCAAUGGCAACAACUAUUAAUCUUUAUAUACGACUAUAUAUACGUUCUCAUAUUCACAUAUAUUUAUAAUAGGUUAUCUCAAUUUCACAAGUGCGCGCACGAGAUAUUUGAAAUUUUUAUUUUUAUGAGACUUCAAUGAUCGUAGCAUAGCUAGUUUUUUUCUUCUAAUCAAUUUCUUUUUCUAUUUUAGAUGACGAUUUUGAUGCAAUUAGGUAUGACCAUGGCCAUGGAGCUUCUUUCCAUAUGAAGCAUCGAUCAAUCGUUUCUUCAUGUGAAACAACGUUAUUGGUUGUAUUAAUGUUGCCUCCAAAUGCAGGGCACAAUUGAAUCUUCUUUUCGUUUCGUUUAUAAGAUUCUUCUCUGUAUGCUGGAUUCUCUUUACUUGGAUGCUCAUGGAAAUGAGCAUUUUUCCACCAAAGCUUCAUCCCCUUCACAAACACAUCAAACAAAAUAAGUAAAUAUACUAAAAAUAACCAAACAAAAA